AACUUUCAACAAUGGAUCUCUUGGUUCUGGCAUCGAUGAAGAACGCAGCGAAAUGCGAUAAGUAGUGUGAAUUGCAGAAUUCAGUGAAUCAUCGAAUCUUUGAACGCACAUUGCGCCCCUUGGUAUUCCAUGGGGCAUGCCUGUUCGAGCGUCAUUUCAACCCUCAAGCUCUGCUUGGUGUUGGGCGUUUGUCCCGCCAUCGCGCGCGGACUCGCCUCAAAUGCAUUGGCAGCCAGCGCUCUUUUCCGCCUCCGCCCGCAGCACAUUGCACGAGGAGGAGCGGGGAGUGCGGCGUCCACAAGACCUUUUAUCGUCUUGACCUCGGAUCAGGUAGGGAUACCCGCUGAACUUAAGCAUAUCAAUAAGCGGAGGAAAAGAAACCAACAGGGAUUGCCCUAGUAACGGCGAGUGAAGCGGCAACAGCUCAAAUUUGAAAUCUGGCCUCUUCGGGGCCCGAGUUGUAAUUUGCAGAGGGUGCUUUGGCGUUGGCGGCGGUCUAAGUUCCUUGGAACAGGACAUCACAGAGGGUGAGAAUCCCGUACGUGGUCGCCCGCCUUCGCCGUGUAAAGCCCCUUCGACGAGUCGAGUUGUUUGGGAAUGCAGCUCUAAAUGGGAGGUAAAUUUCUUCUAAAGCUAAAUACUGGCCAGAGACCGAUAGCGCACAAGUAGAGUGAUCGAAAGAUGAAAAGCACUUUGGAAAGAGAGUCAAAAAGCACGUGAAAUUGUUGAAAGGGAA
rnacentral:misc_RNA from 1 species